rnacentral:rRNA from 1 species
GAUGAACGCUGGCGGCGUGCUUAACACAUGCAAGUCGAACGGAAAGGCUCCUGCUUGCAGGGGUACUCGAGUGGCGAACGGGUGAGUAACACGUGGGUGAUCUGCCCUGCACUUCGGGAUAAGCCUGGGAAACUGGGUCUAAUACCGGAUAGGACCACAUUUUGGAUGGUGUGGUGGAAAGUUUUUCGGUGUGGGAUGAGCUCGCGGCCUAUCAGCUUGUUGGUGGGGUAAUGGCCUACCAAGGCGUCGACAGGUAGCCGGCCUGAGAGGGUGUACGGCCACAUUGGGACUGAGAUACGGCCCAGACUCCUACGGGAGGCAGCAGUGGGGAAUAUUGCACAAUGGGCGCAAGCCUGAUGCAGCGACGCCGCGUGGGGGAUGACGGCCUUCGGGUUGUAAACUCCUUUCGCUAGGGACGAAGCGCAAGUGACGGUACCUGGAGAAGAAGCACCAGCUAACUACGUG